AAGGAUUUAAGUUAACAAAAACUAAUAACCUUCAAAGUUAUCAUUAAAUAAGUAAAUUUAAGCCUUA
rnacentral:tRNA from 1 species